ACCGAAAUAGCUCAGCUUGAACAGCGUUAAACUAUAGAUUGAAAACUCCCUGGUUCGAUCCCCGGGUUCCGGCA
rnacentral:tRNA from 1 species